rnacentral:rRNA from 1 species
AUUGAACGCUGGCGGCAGGCCUAACACAUGCAAGUCGAACGAGUGGCGGACGGGUGAGUAAUGUCUGGGAAACUGACCGAUGGAGGGGGAUAACUACUGGAAAAGGUAACUAAUACCGCAUACCAUCGGAUGUGCACAGAUGGGAGUAGCUAGUAGGUGGGGUAACGGCUCACCUAGGGGACGAGCCCUAGCUGGUCUGAGUGGAUGACGAGCCACACUGGAACUGCGACACGGCCCAGACUCCUACGGGAGGCAGCAGUGGGGAAUAUUGCACAAUGGGCGCAAGCCUGAUGCAGCCAUGCCGCGUGUAUGAAGAAGGCCUUCGGGUUGUAAAGUACUUUCAGCGAGGAGGCGUUACUCGCAGAAGAAGCACCGGCUAACUCCGUGCCAGCAGCCGCGGUAAUUC